rnacentral:rRNA from 1 species
GAUGAACGCUGGCGGCGUGCCUAAUACAUGCAAGUCGAGCGAAUGGAUUAAGAGCUUGCUCUUAUGAAGUUAGCGGCGGACGGGUGAGUAACACGUGGGUAACCUGCCCAUAAGACUGGGAUAACUCCGGGAAACCGGGGCUAAUACCGGAUAACAUUUUGAACCGCAUGGUUCGAAAUUGAAAGGCGGCUUCGGCUGUCACCUAUGGAUGGACCCGCGUCGCAUUAGCUAGUUGGUGAGGUAACGGCUCACCAAGGCAACGAUGCGUAGCCGACCUGAGAGGGUGAUCGGCCACACUGGGACUGAGACACGGCCCAGACUCCUACGGGAGGCAGCAGUAGGGAAUCUUCCGCAAUGGACGAAAGUCUGACGGAGCAACGCCGCGUGAGUGAUGAAGGCUUUCGGGUCGUAAAACUCUGUUGUUAGGGAAGAACAAGUGCUAGUUGAAUAAGCUGGCACCUUGACGGUACCUAACCAGAAAGCCACGGCUAACUACGUGCCAGCCGCCGCUGUAAUAC